rnacentral:rRNA from 1 species
UUCGAUUAUGGCUCAGAUUAGACGCUGGCGGGAUGCUUUACACGGCACAAGUCGAACGGCAGCCUGGACUUCGGUCUGGUGGCGGGUAGCGAACAGGUGGCCAAUGUAUCGGAACGUGCCUAGUAGCGGGGGAUAACUACGCGAAAGCGUAGCUAAUAUCCACCGCUGGGGAAAGCAGGGGGACCUUCAGACCUCGCACUAUUAGAGCGGCCGUGUAUCGGUUAAGCUAGUUGGUGGGGUAACGGCUCGCAAGGCGACGAUCCGUAGCUGGUUUGAAGGGACGACCAGCCACACUGGGACUGAGACACGGCCCAGACUCCUACGGGAGGCAGCAGUAGAAUUUUGGACAAUGGGGGAAACCUGAUCCAGCCAUCCCGCGUGUGCGAUGAAGGCCUUCGGGUUGCAAACACUUUUGGCAGAAAGAAACGGCACGGGAUAAUACCCCAUUUCGCUACGACAGACUCACCUGCAGAAUAGCCUCUGACUAACUACGUGCCAGCAGCGCGGUAAUACGUAGGGUGCAAGCGUUAAUCAGGUGCAGAUAAAGCGUGCGCGAGCAGUUCGGAAAGAAUGAUGUAGAAAUCCCAGAGCUUAACUUUGGAACUGCAUUUUUAACUACCGAGCUGAGUGUGUCAGGGAGGUGGAAUUCCGCGUGUAGCAGUGAAAUGCGUGAAUAUGCGGAGGAACACCGAUGGCGAAAGCAGCAGCCUCCUGGGGAUAACGCAAGCGCUCAUGCACAGCGUGAGGCAAACGGGAUUAGAUACCCUGGUAGUCAGUCCACGCCCUAAACGAUGUCAACUAGCUGUUGGGCCUUCGGGCCUUGGUAACAGCUAACGCGCGUGAGAUUGACGCCUGGGAGAUACGGUCGCAAGAUUAAAACUCAAAGAAUUGACGGGGAUUACACAAGCGGUGGAUGAUGUGGGUUAAUUCGAUGCAACGCGAAAAACCUUACCUACCCUUGACAUGUCUAGAAUCCCGAAGAGGUUGGGAGUGCUCGCAAGAACUGGAACACAGGUGCUGCAUGGCUGUCGUCAGCUCAUUGUCGUGAAUGUUGAGUUAAGUCCCGCAACGAGCUAACCGCAUCGUGGAUUGCUACGAAGGGCACUCUAAUGAGACUGCCGAUGCAAGUAAACCGGAGGAAGAGUGGGGAUGACGUCAGUCCUCAUGGCCCAUAUCAGAUGGUAGGGCUUCACACGUCAUACAAUGGUCGGGACAGAGGUGCCAACCCGCGAGGAAUAAUCCCAGAAACCCGAUCAUCGUCCGGUCACAGUCUGCAAUAUUGACUGCAUGAAGUCGGAAUCGCUAGUAAUCGCGGAUCAGCAUGUCGCGGUGAAUACGUUCCCGGGUCUUGUACGCCGCCCGUCACACCAUGGGAGUGGGUUUUGCAAGUAGUUAACCUAACCGUAAGGGCGAUUACCACGGUAGGAUUCAUGACUGGGAGUGAAGUCGUAACAAGGUAG